AUUGAACGCUGGCGGCAGGCCUAACACAUGCCAGUCGAGCGGAGGAAGGGAGCUUGCUCCUGGAUUCAGCGGCGGACGGGUAAGUAAUGCCUAGGAAUCUGCCUGGUAGUGGGGGAUAACGUCCGGAAACGGGCGCUAAUACCGCAUACGUCCUGAGGGAGAAAGUGGGGGAUCUUCGGACCUCACGCUAUCAGAUGAGCCUAGGUCGGAUUAGCUAGUUGGUGGGGUAAAGGCCUACCAAGGCGACGAUCCGUAACUGGUCUGAGAGGAUGAUCAGUCACACUGGAACUGAGACACGGUCCCGACUCCUACGGGAGGCAGCAGUGGGGAAUAUUGGACAAUGGGCGGAAGCCUGCUCCAGCCAUGCCGCGUGUGUGAAGAAGGUCUUCGGAUUGUAAAGCACUUUAAGUUGGGAGGAAGGGCAGUAAGUUAAUACCUUGCUGUUUUGACGUUACCAACAGAAUAAGCACCGGCUAACUUCGUG
rnacentral:rRNA from 1 species